GCUGAGCCCGGACUCUUCCUUCUCCAAACGGAUUCUCCGUCCCGGCCGCGGGCUGGAUCGCCCCGGGUUGGGGUCGCGGUGCCGCGUGCUGCUGGAGCCCCCCGAAACCGAGGGGAACGGCGCCGGGGACGCGGUGGAAGGGACGGCGUGCGGCCGACGGUGCCCGGUGAGUCCCCAAAACGCAACGAAAGACCCCAAAAAUCCAACCGAGGGGCUCCAAAAACCAACCGACGUCCCCAAGGAUCGCCGAAACGCGACGGAAGAGCCCAAAAAUCCAACGGUGGAGCCCAAAAACCGAAGGAAAGGCCCCGAAAAUUCAACAGAGGAGCUCCAAAAUUCAAAGGGAGACCCCAAAACUCCAACUGACCUCAACCAAAACCCAACGCAGGACCCCAAAAAUUCAACAGAAGACCCCAAAAAAUCAGCAGGGAACCUCGCGUGCCCUGGAGAUGUCAAUGAGAACCGAGCUGAGGGCUACAGAGACCCCAAAAACCCAACAGAAGACCCCGAAAGCCCAAGAAAAGAACCCAAAAUCCCAAUGGAAGACCCCCAAAAUCCACAAAGAGAUCCCAAAACCCCAACAAAAGACCCCAAAAGUCCAACUGAUGUCAACCAAAACCCAACGGGUGACCCCAAAACCCCAAUCGACCUCAACCAAAACCCAAGAGAAGACCCCAGAACCCCAAUGGAUGUCAAUGAAACCCAAGAGGAAGACCCCAAAAACCCAAGGAGAGACCCCAGAAGGCAAUCAGAAGACCUCAAAAUCCCAACGAAAUGCCCCAAAACCCCAAUGGACCUCGACCAAAAUCCAACGGAAGAACCCGAAACCCCAAGAGUAGACCCCAAAAACCCAGCAGGAGACCCCAAAACCCCAAGAACAGACCCCAACAGUCGAAUGGAAGACCUCAAAAUCCCAACGAAAUGCCCCCAAACCCCAACUGACCUCAACCAAAACCCAACGGAAGACCCCAAAACCCAAAGGGGAGACCCCAAAACCCCAACCGACCUCAACCAAAACCCAACGGAAGACCCCAAAACCCCAACCGACCUCAACCAAAACCCAACGGAAGACCCCAAAACCCCAACCAACCUCAACCAAAACCCAACAGAAGACCCCAAAACCCAAACAGGAGACCCCCAAACCCCAACAAAACACCCCAAAACCCCAACUGACCUCAACCAAAACCCAACGGAAGACCCCAAAACCCCAACAAAUGACCGCAAAAUCCCAAUGAAUGACCCCAAAACUCAACGGAGAGCCCGAAGAACGCAACAAAUGACCACAAGACUCCAACAAAUGAUCUCACAGACACAAGAAAGACCCCAAAAUCCCAAUGAAGGACCCCAAAAUCCCAAUGUCCCCCUCCCCCGUCCCCCCCAACCUGCACGGCCUUGACGAUGGCGACGACGCCGGUGGGCCAGAAGCAGCAGAGGGUGGUGAGCACGGCGAUGGGCAAGUAAUCAUGCGGGGGGGCACCGGGGGGAGGAGCGGGGAGCACCGGGCCGGGGCUGUACACCUACAGGUGGGCGGGGCUUUGGGUGGCUCCGCCCCCUCCAUAAGCUCCGCCUCCCCCACAUUCAUAAGCUCUCAUUC
rnacentral:lncRNA from 1 species